GAUGAACGCUGGCGGCGUGCCUAAUACAUGCAAGUCGAGCGAACGGACGAGAAGCUUGCUUCUCUGACGUUAGCGGCGGACGGGUGAGUAACACGUGGAUAACCUACCUAUAAGACUGGGAUAACUUCGGGAAACCGGAGCUAAUACCGGAUGAUAUUUUGAACCGCAUGGUUCAAAAGUGAAAGACGGUCUUGCUGUCACUUAUAGAUGGAUCCGCGCUGCAUUAGCUAGUUGGUAAGGUCACGGCUUACCAAGGCAACGAUGCAUAGCCGACCUGAGAGGGUGAGCAGCCACACUGGGAGUGAGACACGGUCCAGACUCCUACGGGAGGCAGCAGUAGGGAAUCUUCCGCAAUGGGCGAAAGCCUGACGGAGCAACGCCGCGUGAGUGAUGAAGGUCUUCGGAUCGUAAAACUCUGUUAUUAGGGAAGAACAUGUGUGUAAGUAACUGUGCACAUCUUGACGGUACCUAAGCAGAAAGCCACGGCUAACUACGUG
rnacentral:rRNA from 1 species